GAUGAACGCUGGCGGCGUGCCUAAUACAUGCAAGUCGAGCGAAUGGAUUAAGAGCUUGCUCUUAUGAAGUUAGCGGCGGACGGGUGAGUAACACGUGGGUAACCUGCCCAUAAGACUGGGAUAACUCCGGGAAACCGGGGCUAAUACCGGAUAACAUUUUGAACCGCAUGGUUCGAAAUUGAAAGGCGGCUUCGGCUGUCACUUAUGUAUGGACCCGCGUCGCAUUAGCUAGUUGGUGAGGUAACGGCUCACCAAAGCAACGAUGCGUAGCCGACCUGAGAGGGUGAUCGGCCACACUGGGACUGAGACACGGCCCAGACUCCUACGGGAGGCAGCAGUAGGGAAUCUUCCGCAAUGGACGAAAGUCUGACGGAGCAACGCCGCGUGAGUGAUGAAGGCUUUCGGGUCGUAAAACUCUGUUGUUAGGGAAGAACAGGUGCUAGUUGAAUAAGCUGGCACCUUGACGGUACCUAACCAGAAAGCCACGGCUAACUACGUGCCAGCAGCCGCAGUAA
rnacentral:rRNA from 1 species